ACUCUAGACGAACUGCCGUUGACAAAACGGAGGAAGGUGGGGAUGACGUCAAAUCAUCAUGCCCCUUAUGUUCUGGGCUACACACGUGCUACAAUGGCCGGUACAGACGGACGCAAAGCCGCGAGGUGGAGCAAAUCCUAAAAAGCCGGUCUCAGUUCGGAUUGCAGGCUGCAAUUCGCCUGCAUGAAGUCGGAAUCGCUAGUAAUCGCAGGUCAGCAUACUGCGGUGAAUACGUUCCCGGGCCCU
rnacentral:rRNA from 1 species